rnacentral:rRNA from 1 species
AAUAGAUACCCGGGUAGUCCACGCCGUAAACGAUGAGUGCUAAGUGUUAGGGGGGUUUCCGCCCCUUAGUGCUGCAGCUAACGCAUUAAGCACUCCGCCUGGGGAGUACGGCCGCAAGGCUGAAACUCAAAGGAAUUGACGGGGGGCCCGCACAAGCGGUGGAGCAUGUGGUUUAAUUCGAAGCAACGCGAAGAACCUUACCAGGUCUUGACAUCCUCUGACAACCCUAGAGAUAGGGCGUUCCCCCUUCGGGGGACAGAGUGACAGGUGGUGCAUGGUUGUCGUCAGCUCGUGUCGUGAGAUGUUGGGUUAAGUCCCGCAACGAGCGCAACCCUUGAUCUUAGUUGCCAGCAUUUAGUUGGGCACUCUAAGGUGACUGCCGGUGACAAACCGGAGGAAGGUGGGGAUGACGUCAAAUCAUCAUGCCCCUUAUGACCUGGGCUACACACGUGCUACAAUGGAUGGUACAAAGGGCUGCCAAACCGCGAGGUUGAGCGAAUCCCAUAAAACCAUUCUCAGUUCGGAUUGCAGGCUGCAACUCCG